rnacentral:rRNA from 1 species
UACGUAGGGGGCAAGCGUUGUCCGGAUUUAUUGGGCGUAAAGAGCGUGUAGGCGGCCAGGUAGGUCCGUUGUGAAAACUCGAGGCUCAACCUCGAGACGCCGAUGGAAACCAUCUGGCUAGAGUCCGGAAGAGGAGAGUGGAAUUCCCGGUGUAGCGGUGAAAUGCGUAGAUAUUGGGAGGAACACCAGUGGCGAAGGCGGCUCACUGGACCGGUACUGACGCUGAUGCGCGAAAGCGUGGGGAGCAAACGGG